rnacentral:rRNA from 1 species
UACGGAGGAUCCAAGCGUUAUCCGGAAUCAUUGGGUUUAAAGGGUCCGUAGGCUGUUAAAUAAGUCAGAGGUGAAAGUUUGUCGCUCAACGAUAAAAUUGCCUUUGAUACUGUUUAACUUGAAUAAUAAUGAAGUGAUUAGAAUGUGUAGUGUAGCGGUGAAAUGCAUAGAUAUUACACAGAAUACCAAUUGCGAAGGCAUGUCACUAAUUAUUUAUUGACGCUGAUGGACGAAAGCGUGGGUAGCGAACGGG